CAAAACCCAACCUUAUCUCCUUGAGAAACCCCAUCUUUGACAGACCUCGAGUCCUCGACCCUCUCCCUCUCUCUUCUUCGACACAACUCUCCCUCCCUCUUCUUGACAAGCCCCAACCUUAUCUCCUCCACAGACCCCGACCUACCUUUUCUCUGACAAGCCCCAACAAAAGCUCUCCCUCUUCGACAAACCCCGACCAAAACCAUCUCUGCCUCUAGCUAGGUUAUUCGAUUUGGGAAAUAGGGAAGGGAAGAAAACUUAAUGGGUAGCCUCUAGGAAGUCUCAGAGCACCAAUUAAAGAGAGAGAAAGAGAGCGAUUUUUCGUUUCUAGGGUUUACGCGAUCAAUGCGAGUUCCAAAGAUGCAGAAGCUAGGGUUUCCGAGCAUGAGGAGCUUGGAUCAGUUCAAGUCCCUCUCCAAAUCGGUCUCAGGAGGACCUCCAAAAGACCUUCGCCUACUCUUCACGUCCGCCGGAGUCGACCUUGUUGGGAUGCUUGGCGUCAUGCUUCAACGCGAGACCAUGAAGAAGCUCCAGCGAUAAUACAAUCAGGAAAAGUUGGAUGGGUGGAGAGGGAUGACAAUAUGUGGUGGGUUGAGCACAAAAUAUUGGUUCAGAAUCGAAAGGAAAGGAAACAUGAAGGCAUAUAAAGAUAGAGAAGGCCAUAUAUGAUCAAGUGCACAUCUUGGUGCUUCUGAUCUUGUUACGGUGUAAAAGAGCAUGGGAAAUUCUGGUUGUGAAUGGAUGGUAUCUUACUGCUGUGAAUGUCCUUGUCAAAGUGAAAAAAGAAAAAGAAGCCUUUUCCUGAGGUUUAAAAGCUGGAGAGAAUAAAGUCUGGCUCUUUAAAUUUAAAGUUUCAUCAAAGCCAAAUUCCAUACUGGGUAUUCUUCUUCAUUUGACAUAUAGAGAUGCUUUCAUGUUGGUGAUCAAGAACAUCAAAGUCAGAAGAGAGUAUUUUUGGUGUACAAAGUGGUGAUCAUUCCGGCAACCACAAGCUUUUGAGUGCAGACAAAGUCAUGUGAAUCUUUCUUCCUUGUGGAAACGGUUUCAGUUAUUCCUUGAGCAGUUGCAUAGUGUUCUUCAAGAAAAUGAAGAAUCCAUUAGAGUCAUGAUGAGCUCAUACUUAGGAGCCGUGAUCAGUCAGUAUCCGACUAUGGAAAGUGUACACAAAUAUAAAGGAAGAGGACAUGGCAGAUUGAAGUAAUGCUCGGGAAGAGACGGAUAGUGAGCUCGAGAUUGCUGUCUAUUUUGUACCUUUAUGCAGUCUGCAAAUCUAGAGGAGUUCGAAGAAGAAUUUAAGGGUAUUAACCAAGAAGAGCAGAUCUGCAGACUUCACAAAAUGCUCGCUCCUUACCUUCUUUCAAGUAUAAAUGCAAAACAAUAUUGAGCAUAUGUAAAUGUGCACUGUUUCAGAGUAUGUAAAUGUUCAA